UACGUAGGGUGCAAGCGUUGUCCGGAAUUAUUGGGCGUAAAGAGCUCGUAGGCGGUCAGUCGCGUCUGCUGUGAAAACUCGGGGCUUAACUCCGGGCCUGCAGUGGGUACGGGCUGACUAGAGUGCGGUAGGGGAGAAUGGAACUCCUGGUGUAGCGGUGGAAUGCGCAGAUAUCAGGAAGAACACCGAUGGCGAAGGCAGUUCUCUGGGCCGUAACUGACGCUGAGGAGCGAAAGCGUGGGGAGCGAACAGG
rnacentral:rRNA from 1 species